rnacentral:lncRNA from 12 species
CCGGCAUCCCAGCUAGGCAAGUUGGUUAGCCAAAGUUAAAUCUUAAUUUCAUCAAGAAUUCUUUGCCAAUUUUCAUCAGUUGAUGUCAGUCGGAAACUCAGAAAAAUUCUUUUGGUAGAUAUGAAAAUAUUUUAGGCAUCGCAAUUCUCUUUUUAAAUGUAGAUGGUGCCACAUAUUACCGAACACUGCUGGUGAUGAUGGAACGCCCUUUUCCUAUGAACAUAGAUAAUACAUUAACCAGUCGGCUAAGGCAAGGAAGCAUCACGAAUAGCAUGAAGACAUGCUCCUUUCAGGCGUCUACAAGGAAAAAAAAUAUGCCUUGACCUUGAGGAGUGACCCCAGUUACUGGUGCCUUCAGGAGCUACAGUGGAUAUGAUGGAUGAUAUUUGGCACAAAGAUUCCAGUGAUGGAAUUCAGAUUAUUUGUCAUUACUUUUGGUUACUUUCUGCUCUGCUGAACCAAAUCAUAGUUUUUGGGAUAAUUUGAAUACUUCUCAAUUUGAAAAAAACCGAAAUAAAGUUUGGGUAAGUCUAAGUCUUUUGCUUUUG